GGAGAGAUGGCCGAGCGGCUGAAGGCACUCCCUUGCUAAGGGAGCAGAGGGUAAAACCUCUCGUGAGUUCAAAUCUCACUCUCUCCGCCA
rnacentral:tRNA from 1 species